rnacentral:rRNA from 1 species
GCGAGUGAAGCGGCAAAAGCUCAAAUUUGAAAUCUGGCACCUUCGGUGUCCGAGUUGUAAUUUGAAGAAGGUAACUUUGGAGUCAGCUCUUGUCUAUGUUCCUUGGAACAGGACGUCACAGAGGGUGAGAAUCCCGUGCGAUGAGAUGUCUGAUUCUAUGUAAAGUGCUUUCGAAGAGUCGAGUUGUUUGGGAAUGCAGCUCUAAGUGGGUGGUAAAUUCCAUCUAAAGCUAAAUAUUGGCGAGAGACCGAUAGCGAACAAGUACAGUGAUGGAAAGAUGAAAAGAACUUUGAAAAGAGAGUGAAAAAGUACGUGAAAUUGUUGAAAGGGAAGGGUUUGAGAUCAGACUUGGUAUUUUGUAUGUCUUGCUUUCGGGUGGGGCCUCUACAGUUUACUGGGCCAGCAUCGGUUUGGACGGUAGGAUAAUGACAUUGGAAUGUGGCACUACUUCGGUGGUGUGUUAUAGACUUUGUUGAUACUGCCUGUCUAGACCGAGGACUGCGUCUUUGACUAGGAUGCUGGCAUAAUGAUCUUAAACCGCCC